CACAUUUCCUAGCGUCGCGGAGUCCUCUGGGCCCAGCGCCUGGCGGGCCUCACCCGACCCACCUGCUGCGCACGGCGUUGCCCAGCCCAGGCAUUAAAGAACUUUCCUGCCGCAGAGAACCGAGCCCGAGACACGCCCUGGCUAUCUAUAGAAAAUCCCUUUGGGGGUUCUGCUGACAAGUCACUCGAGAUCCCUCCUUGGGCCUCAUUAUGUCACAGGAACCCUGGCUGGAAUGCGGAGGAUUAAAUUCCUAACCCCUCCCUGUCGGCUGGGCCCGGAGGGAGGGAAGCCAGGAGCUCAGCGCCCACCUGGGCUCUCAGGCGCCCCCUAUUGAACGUUCCUGUCCCUCUGGCCCCGACGGCUGCAGCGGCUCCGCGCGGGAGUCCAAGCCUGCUAAAGCCCUGGGGCUGCAGGCAGCAGGGAGGACCGAGGUCCCAAGGCCCUGUGCAUUCUUACAGCAUCCCGGGGACACGGAAGGGAGAGUGAGAACACAGACUUGAUCCUCAGGCCGGCUCUAAAUCCAGCUCCCCACGUGGAUUUGGGCUUGGAGAUGCAGUGCAGACCUUGGUUCCUGGAUGGAAGAGACACUUCUCAUGGUCAAGCCUCCCCGGGCCCCAGGUUGAGAGGUGAUGCUGCAUAGGGGACGAGAGCAAAGGUCCCCAAAGUGGGGCAUCCUCAAGGGCACCACCUCCGAACAACCCACGGGAAGAAAGAAGAGGAAAGAAGGAAUUGGAAGGGGAGGGGAGGGGAAGGAAAGGGUGAGGAAGAAAGGAAAGGAAGAAGGAGGAAGGGAAGGAGGAAGAAACGAAAGAUUAAAACUCUUUAUAUUUACUGUAAUAUCAUCAUUACAAAACCAUUUUUUUGUUAAAAGUUUAAAUGUAUAUAAAAGUAGAACCAUAUAAUGAACCUCCCAUAUACCCAUGUUCCCACCAUUCAACUUCAAAAAUUACCAACUCCAAGGCCAGUCUUAUUUCCCCUAUUUACCCACCUACUUGUCCCCCCUGCUCCUUUAUUUUGUUAUCUAAGACAGCAAACACUAACUCAUUACAUCUGUAAAUAUUUCAAUAUAUGGGCCUAAAAAACAUGCCCUCUCUUUCUAAAACUUGAACCACAACAUCAUUAUAGUCCAAAAACAUCAAUAAUUAGCCCACAAUAUAACUGAAUAUCCAAUCAGUGCUCAUAUUUCCUUGAUUUUCCUAAAAAUUUUUUUUACAGUUUGAGUUGGGAUCCAAACAAAGUCCACACAUUGUGAUACAUAAAUAUGUCCCUCAGGUCUCUUUUAAUCUAUUGCUCCCUCUCUCAAUCUCUCAUUCUCUAUUUUUGCAAAUUUUUUUUUUUUGGUUGAAAAACUUGGGUUGCUUUUCUUGGUUAAUCUACAGGCUAGAUUCUGCUGAUUAUGUUCCCAUGGUAUCAUUUAUCAUGUGCCUCCAUCCCCUGUACUUUCUGUAAAUGGGAAAUCAAGAGGCUCCAUCAGGUUCAUAUUAAAUCUUUC
rnacentral:lncRNA from 1 species